CUUUCUAAUCCCUUUUGGGAUUUUC
rfam:Caldivirga maquilingensis IC-167, complete genome.